ACUUGGUGGUGUGGGCAUUUAUGCAAGAGGUCCUUGAAGCGCUCUUAUGUCUCAAAAUACAGUUCCCCAUCCAAUUGUAAGAAACUGGUGAUGGCCUUCCUCAGUU